GAUGAACGCUAGCGGCGGGCCUAAUACAUGCAAGUCGAACGGGAAAGGUGGCAACACCUUGAGAGUGGCGUACGGGUGCGUAACGCGUAUACAACCUGCCUGUUACACGGGGAUAGCCUUGCGAAAGCGAGAUUAAUACCCGAUGGUACUAUUGAGCGGCAUCGCUUGGUAGUUAAAGCUGAGGCGGUAACAGAGGGGUAUGCGUCCCAUAGCUAGUUGGUAGUGUAACGGACUACCAAGGCGACGAUGGGUAGGGGUUCUGAGAGGAUGAUCCCCCACACUGGUACUGAGAUACGGACCAGACUCCUACGGGAGGCAGCAGUAGGGAAUAUUGGGCAAUGGACGGAAGUCUGACCCAGCCACGCCGCGUGCAGGAAGAAGGUCCUCUGGAUUGUAAACUGCUUUUCUUGGGGAAGAAAACCCUUCUGCGGAAGGAAUUGACGGUACUCAAGGAAUAAGCAUCGGCUAACUCCGUG
rnacentral:rRNA from 1 species